UUAUGUAACGCGGAGCGAGGUAGCGGAUGCAUGUGCGGAGGCCUGCCAUUCGACUCAAGAGAAGCAAUGGGACGGAGCAAAUGCUUCCAACAAUUAACAAAUCAUGUGCAAGCUUCCUCACUCAUGUGCAAAUCAUGUGCAAGCUUCCACUGUGGCUGUACUGCCUGGCAUGCUGAAGCUGCUGCUGCUGCUAGCAAUCAACCUUCUUCAACAAUCUACAACUUGCUUCUCAGGUUACAGUGGCAAUCUGGUAAUACAGUAAUCACAGGGCCUUGGCCCACUUGACGGCAGAGAUGACCUGGCGACCGCCCAGCCUGUUGAGGGUGGUCAUGAGGCGAGUGGAUGUGUCCGGGAUGGUGCUGUCAUAGCCGGCGUACACAAUCUCAGGCUC